UACGUAGGGUACGAGCGUUGUCCGGAAUUAUUGGGCGUAAAGAGCUCGUAGGCGGUGUGUCACGUCGGCCGUGAAAACCUGCAGCUUAACUGUGGGCGUGCGGUCGAUACGGGCAUCACUGGAGUUCGGCAGGGGAGACUGGAAUUCCUGGUGUAGCGGUGAAAUGCGCAGAUAUCAGGAGGAACACCGGUGGCGAAGGCGGGUCUCUGGGCCGAUACUGACGCUGAGGAGCGAAAGCGUGGGGAGCAAACAGG
rnacentral:rRNA from 1 species